rnacentral:rRNA from 1 species
CGUGCUUAACACAUGCAAGUCGAACGCGAAAGGGACUUCGGUCCUGAGUAAAGUGGCGCACGGGUGAGUAACGCGUAGAUAACCUGUCUUCAUGUCUGGAAUAAUACGCCGAAAGGGGUACUAAUACCGGAUAUUCUUGCUUUUCAUAAGUUAUGCAAGCAAAGGUGGCCUCUGCAUAUGCUACUGCAUGAAGAGGGGUCUGCGUACCAUUAGCUAGUAGGUGGGGUAAUGGCCUACCUAGGCGACGAUGGUUAGCGGGUCUGAGAGGAUGAUCCGCCACACUGGCACUGGAACACGGGCCAGACUCCUACGGGAGGCAGCAGUGAGGAAUAUUGCGCAAUGGGGGAAACCCUGACGCAGCGACGCCGCGUGAGUGAAGGAAGGCCUUCGGGUCGUAAAGCUCUGUCAAGAGGAAAGAAGUGUACAAUGGCUAAUACCUGUUGUAUUUGACGGUACCUCUAAAGGAAGCACCGGCUAACUCCGUGCCAGCCGCAGC